rnacentral:rRNA from 1 species
UACAGAGGUGGCAAGCGUUGUUCGGAAUUACUGGGCGUAAAAGGCGCGUAGGCGGCCUUGUCAGUCAGACGUGAAACUCCCAGGCUUAACCUGGGAACUGCGUCUGAUACUACAAGGCUUGAGUGCGGGAGAGGGAUGUGGAAUUCCAGGUGUAGCGGUGAAAUGCGUAGAUAUCUGGAGGAACACCGGUGGCGAAGGCGGCAUCCUGGACCGACACUGACGCUGAGCGCGAAAGCUAGGGAGCAACGG